rnacentral:rRNA from 1 species
UACGUAGGGGGCGAGCGUUGUCCGGAUUUAUUGGGCGUAAAGAGCUCGUAGGCGGCCUGUUACGUCUGCUGUGAAAUCCCGGGGCUUAACCCCGGGCGUGCAGUGGAUACGGGCAGGCUGGAGGCAGGCAGGGGAGAACGGAAUUCCCGGUGUAGCGGUGAAAUGCGCAGAUAUCAGGAGGAACACCGGUGGCGAAGGCGGGUCUCUGGGCCGAUACUGACGCUGAGGAGCGAAAGCGUGGGGAGCGAACAGG